rnacentral:rRNA from 1 species
AUUGAACGCUGGCGGCAGGCCUAACACAUGCAGGUCGAGCGGAUGAAGGGAGCUUGCUCCUGGAUUCAGCGGCGGACGGGUGAGUAAUGCCUAGGAAUCUGCCUGGUAGUGGGGGAUAACGUCCGGAAACGGGCGCUAAUACCGCAUACGUCCUGAGGGAGAAAGUGGGGGAUCUUCGGACCUCACGCUAUCAGAUGAGCCUAGGUCGGAUUAGCUAGUUGGUGGGGUAAAGGCCUACCAAGGCGACGAUCCGUAACUGGUCUGAGAGGAUGAUCAGUCACACUGGAACUGAGACACGGUCCAGACUCCUACGGGAGGCAGCAGUGGGGAAUAUUGGACAAUGGGCGAAAGCCUGAUCCAGCCAUGCCGCGUGUGUGAAGAAGGUCUUCGGAUUGUAAAGCACUUUAAGUUGGGAGGAAGGGCAGUAAGUUAAUACCUUGCUGUUUUGACGUUACCAACAGAAUAAGCACCGGCUAACUUCGU